AACAUGCAAGUCAACGAUCUGUAGCAAUACAGGGAGUGGCGGACGGGUGAGGAACACGUAGGAAUCUACCUUGAAGAGCGGGACAACUUUGGGAAACCGGGGCUAAUACCGCAUAGUACAGAGAUGUUAAAGGGCUAGCAAUAGUCGCUUCGAGAUGAGCCUGCGGUCUAUCAGCUUGUUGGUGAGGUAAUGGCUCACCAAGGCUACGACGGAUAGCCGGUCUGAGAGGAUGAUCGGCCACACUGGCACUGAGACACGGGCCAGACUCCUACGGGAGGCAGCAGUUAAGAAUCUUGCGCAAUGGGCGAAAGCCUGACGCAGCAACGCCGCGUGCGGGAUGACGGCCUUCGUGGUUGUAAACCGCUUUCAGCAGGGACGAAAAUGACGGUACCUGCAGAAGAAGCCCCGGCUAACUACGUG
rnacentral:rRNA from 1 species